CUAAAUGCAGAUCCCCACAGCAGGGCUGUAAAGGAGAAACUAUACCCAUCAUCUAAGUAUCCAGUCUGCCAACCAUCCAAAAGGGACCGUAUCAGCAGCAACAGUAGCAGCAGAGAGCUUUUAAACAGGAACUACCUUUCACAGAGAUAAUACAGCAAGAACUUAGUCGUUAUAAUAAAAGACACUUUUCAGGAAAUUUUCAGUAAGUAGCUGAUGAGAAUCAGAAAUCUCCAUAAGUUAACAGAUAUCACUUGGAAGUUUCUGGAUUGCUCACAUGCAAUUUCAUAUAAUCUAUGCCAUAAGAAGGUCAUAUGUUAACAUACGAAAACAGGUUGCUAUUACCUCAUACUUCAACAAAAAGUUGUCUGGAUUACUGCUCCCAACCGUGGUCACCCCAGGGCAUGAAACUAGUUAAGGAACUUGAGGCAAUCCAGAGCCACUGCACAAGAAGACUGACUUGGUGAAAACAAAUGAGUUACUGGAAAAGGCUAAAGGAACUGCAGCUCUACUCCCUAGAGACGUGUGAAAGAUAUGUAGUGAUAUGCAUAACCAUAGAUGAAGAUAAGUAUAAAAACAGAAAUGAAGAUAGGGAAUUUGGAUUUUUUACCAACCUCACCUCUUCUGAAGAUUGAAUACUAGAGCUUGUGCAUUACUGUGCCUGCACCAGCAUUUCUAGCAUUCUAUUCAGCAUCCUGCAUCCCAUCACUUAUGACCACAGCCUCAAAACUCUUGAACUUCUCUACUUGUCUCAAUAAGGUUUCUGUAACAUACAGAUUGCACUAAAAAGACUUUCUUGAGAGGACUAAUCAGUUUUCACAUCAUUAAUUAUCUCUGCCUUACAGCACUUGGCAAUGAAUCUAUUCAGUGCUUGUGCAAAGAGAACCUUUUGAUGAGACAUGUAGCUCCAUGUUGUUAGAAAAUAUCAGCUGACCAAUCCUACACCCUUUGAUUAUGAUAACAGUUCUACAAUGGCUGUGCAUGUUAAGUCAAUUUGUGAAAAUUAUAAAAAGAGGUGGCAGUAUGCACACCUGCCAAAGUCCAACACUCAUGUUCCAAGGCUUCAAUUUAGCACCAUUUACCCAAAACCAAAUAUUUUGGCAUUCGUAUAGGGUCUUCAUGGCAACUGAAGUUGCUCAUCAAUCCCAAGUUCGUGCAAAACCCAUCACAGCAUCUCUCACAACAUGCAGUCAUAUAAAUUCAUAAGGUUUUAUAUAUGUAUAUAUACAUGUGUGUUUUGAGAAGUACAGAAAGCUGCAUAGACAGAUGUAUUUUAGAGAAUGAGAAAGGGAGACUUUAAGUCAGAGAAACUGGAAAUCAAUUGCUGAAAUCCAGAUAAGAGGGGUAGCAGAUAGAACAGAAUCUACGUAUGUGUAGAUACCCUAUUUUGGAGUGAAGUUUGAGUAGAUAGUGUGUUGGGUAGCAGAGAUGAAAUGUAGAUGGAAGGGUCUUUGAAACUUAUGCCAUACAGAGGAAUAAAAUAAGUAAGGGAUGAUGUAUGGGAUCCAGGUUGGCCUCAAGAAGGCCUCAAAUAUUUGAGAAGAGCAGUGGGUUUGGGAUUUUUUUUUUUCUUUUUUUGGUGGGGACAGGUUGAUUCUACCUUUUGGUAUCAUAAGGAAUAGUAGAUGGAUGGUUUGACAGGAGCUGGCAAGUCAGAGGACUGCACCAAGCUCCAUUGUCAACUUUGGCAUAGCUUUUACAGCUAGAUGCCUUUCCUAUUACCAACCACUUUACAGAGUGGACUGGGUGCUUUUUACAUGUAAAUAUCCCUAGAUAUUUAUAAAAACAUAUCAGUUCAAAUAAUGAACAGUCUGACUUAAAUGCAUCUUGUAGGAGAUGGGGGAAGAGGCAAGUAAAAUUUUUUUUUUCUGCCUGGCAAUAAUUCAAAUUUCAUAAGCCCUAUCAUGAAAAUUUUGUGACAGUCCUACCUACAUCCAAGAAAGUUAUGCUCAACAGUAUAUAAGCUAGAGUUUUUAGGAUGAAAUUAUUUAUUUGUAAAAUUUAGGCAGUGCUAAAAAAAGUUCUAAAUUUUUUAAUGAAUUAACUAAUAUUCUCCAAAUGUCCUCUAAACUGAUUUGACAGUGAAGAAGACGAAAACAAAAAUGUCAAAAACAUUAAUAGAAGGCUGAUUGAAUUUGCAUGGAAUUGACUAAUUUGCUUGCCUCUUCCCCACUGCAGAAUAUUGAUUAAAUUAUAUUCCACUUAAAGAAGUCAGAAGUAGCUUUUUAAGAUAAGGACUUACAGGCAGCAGGUUUGAAGUCAAAAUAAAAUGACCACUUGAGAUUGAACAGACAGACAACAGACAGACCGACAAAUAUAUGUAUAUGUAUUACACUUCAGUGAAGUGGUAAAAGGUUAAAUGCUCGAUUUAUUAGCUUACCACUACUUCACUGAAGCACAUAGAAUAUGGUUAACUGAGAUGAAAUUUUGUAUUAAUCAUAUGGACUAUUAAUAUCAACAACUAUAAAAGAAGCUCAAAAGCAAUAUCUACAUGGUUACUUGAUCUACAAGAGAUAACAGCCUAAUCUCUUUCAGAUUACAUUCUAUCUUAAAAAAAAAAAGACAUAUUGGAUGAUAUAGUCCAAAAUAUAUUAAACUUGACUGCAUAUUGCGCUAUGUCUGAAAACAGAAAAUACUGAAUAAACAUAGCUGGAAAAACUUUGAUUACGGGCCUGUUCAACCAGGGCCAAUCGGGAGUUAAACAUCAGUGAGUUUCUUAGUUAUAAGCCAGUAAGAUAACCUCUACACAGUUACAUGGCUAGCUAGAAAUAACAACUACUCCUCCCUGCCAUGAAACCCUAUUGUCUAUAAAUAUAAAAAAAAAGAAAAAGGGGAAGAUACAUUAGGUAAAGUAAUCUUAGAUAGUCUGAAAAAAGAAAUGACCCAACGGUCACACCUGGAACACCUUUGAUCCAAGGUUUGUUCAAUCAGGGUUGGACUAUGAUGAAACAAUAAUGUUUAUGAAUGACAAAUUCUACAUUCUUUUACUCACUAAAAAUUUCUAUAUAUCUAUAUUCUGAAAAAGAAGAGUGAGAAAAAUUCAUAGAUUAAAAAUACCCCAGUUUAUUUGGUUUGUGUCAAAGAUAUCACAGACCAAGGUAAUAUGAUGCUACUGUAAGCUAUCUAUUUUCUAUUCUUUGUGAUACAACAAAUUUCAACAGUUACUUAACUCCUUUUCUAAAUGGUUUCUGAAUAUCAGAAAAUGUCUUUGAAAAGUAAGUAAAGAUUCAAAAUCUAUAUUAAUGAUAGUAACAAAGAAUAAAAAAAAUUUUAAAUAAUUAAAUAUAUAUGUAAUUUACAAUGUUUCACAACGUGAACAAUUCAAAAAUGGCAUUGCAUCAAGAAUGGCCAGCAACAUUAAAACAUUCACUUAUGAGGGCAUCAUUGGUUGACAUUAUAGAACACAAUUCUCUUUUUUUUUAUUAUUUGCAACAAUUCAAACAAAAUUCAUAACAAAACAAAAAUAAUUAUUCUGUAAAAAAAAAAAAAAAAGGCCAUCAAAUAUUCCUGAAAAGAAUGAAUCUUAAAAAAAAAGGUAUUUUUCAAUUAGUGAAUAUUAAAAUUUAAUAUUUACAUAUGACUCUCAAAAGUGAUAGACUUCACAGAACUUAAUUACUUCUAAACUUGCAAUAAUAGUUACUUUUUCAUAUCUUGAUAGAUACACUUUGUUUUAUUAUAUCUUAAAUAAACUGUCAAUACAAUAUAGCAUAUUUUUUUUUUCUUCAGAAAAUCUACUUUUGUUCACAUAUCUUCCAUCACAGACAAUAUUGAAUUGUCAAAGAUUCUAAGAAAAAUCAUUUGUUUCACAUAAAAUAUUCAUCAUGUAUAUCCCAGCUGAUUGGUUUUCCAAAUUCUUUCAACACAAAUGUAUUUAAAUCUUUCCUGCCAAGACAUCAAUUAUUAUUACUAUUAUUAUUAUUAUUAUUAUUAUUACAUUUUCUUUAUUUCUCUAAAAAUCUAAAAGUUUCUGACAAACUUUUUCUAUACUACACAAAUAAACUUACAUCCAAGAACUAUUUUCAAUCAUUUUACAAAGAAAGUUUUUUUUAAAAAUCUUUCGCAAGAAGAAAAUUUGCAUAUUUAUAAAAAAUAUCACUCACCUAUUUU